rnacentral:tRNA from 1 species
GGAGAGGCUGUGUUACUCAGUAGUAGGUCAUCUGUGUGGCAUGUAGAAGGCCCCAGGUUCAAUCCCUGGCAUCUCCA